GCGCAAGCUCAGUACGGGCAGAUGGUGGAUGCCUUGGUAGCUGAAGGCGAUGAAGGACGUGGUAGGCUGCGAAAAGCCUCGGGGAGUCGCCGAGCAGACGUUGAUCCGAGGAUUUCCGAAUGGGGUAACCCGCUCCGCGGAAGGCGGAGAAUCAUUCUCCGAACUGAGUAGGAGGAUGAAGCGAACCCGGGGAAGUGAAGCAUCUCAGUACCCGGAGGAAGAGAAAUCAAUUGAGAUUCCCUGAGUAGCGGCGAGCGAAACGGGAAGAGCCCAAACUCGAGAAACCUAUAGGCUGCAUCCGUUGUUUCCCGGGGGUUGUAAGCGACCCAUCCUGUCCAUGCAGGGGCAGGCGGAGUUACACGCGAGGUCUAGCCGAACGGCCGGCAAAGCCACUGGAACGGGCGACCGAAGAGGGUGAUAGUCCCGUAGGCGAAAGGCUAAGCGACUCCGGAGGUCUGCUUGAGUAACGUCGUACCCGUGAUACGGCGUGAAGCUGGGGAGACCACUCUCCAAGGCUAAAUACUAACAGCUGACCGAUAGUGAAUAUAGUACCGCGAGGGAAAGGUGAAAAGAACCCCGGAAGGGGAGUGAAAUAGAGCCUGAAACCAUCUGCCCACAGGCAGUGGGAGGGUCCCGGCGUCUUAAGUUGCGCUUCCAAGCCCCGCAAGGGAGGAGGGAGCGUGGACGGGGCGCUGGCCUGACCUCGUGCCUUUUGCAGUAUGAUCCGGCGAGUUGUUUUCGGUGGCGAGGUUAAGCUGGGUACGUCCAGCGGAGCCGAAGCGAAAGCGAGUCCGAAUGGGGCGACAAGUCACCGGGAACAGACCCGAAGCCAGGCGAUCUACCCAUGGCCAGGGUGAACUCCGAGUAACAUCGGAGGGAGGCCCGAACUCGUGGAUGAGGAAAAAUCCUGGGAUGAGCUGUGGGUAGCGGUGAAAAGCCCGCCGGGCCCUGGUAAUAGCUGGUUCUCCCCGAAAUAGUUUUAGGACUAGCCUCACCUGAGAAGUCCGCGGGGGUAGAGCACUGGAUGGGUGCGGCGCAAGCCAAACCCAACCAAACUCCGAAUACCGCGGAUGAAUCGGUGGGAGUCAGACUGUGGGGGAUAACCUUCAUAGUCGUGAGGGAAACGGCCCAGACCGCCAGUUAAGGCCCCCAAGUCCGAGCUAAGUGUGAAAGGAUGUCUCUCUACUUAAACAGCUGGGAGGUUGGCUUAGAAGCAGCCAUCCUUUAAAGAGUGCGUAAUAGCUCACCAGUCGAGUGGGGGGGCGCCGAAGAUGUAACGGGGCUCAAGUUCGGCGCCGAAACUGCGGAUUCGUUCCGUCUUCGGACGGAAUGAGUGGUAGGGGAGCGUUCCCAGCGGAGCGAAGUCGAGCCGUAAGGCCAGAUGGACUGCUGGGAAGUGAGAAUGCCGGAAUGAGUAGCGCGAGUCGAGUGAGAAACUCGACCACCGAAUGCCUAAGGUUUCCUGGGGAAGGCUCAUCCACCCAGGGUUAGGCGGCCCUAAGGUGAACCCGAAAGGGGUAGCCGAUGGACAGCCGGUUAAUAUUCCGGCCCCUCUUCCCCGCGUUGACUAUGGGGGGACGCCGCAGGUCGGGACGAGCGGGGUAUUGGAUUCCCCGUGCAAGCGCCAAGACAUCGGGCUCCAGGCAAAUCCGGAGUCCGGUCAAGUCGAGGCGUGAUGCGGAGGGCCUACGGGCCCGAAGGAAGUCUGAUCCGCGGCCGAGAAAAACCUCUAAGGAGCUGGGGAGAGACCGUACCGAACUCUGACACAGGUAGGCAAGUAGAGUAUACUCAGGUGGGCGAGAGAAUCCUCGUUAAGGAACUCGGCAAAAUGACCCCGUACGUUCGCAAUAAGGGGUGCCCGGAGCAAUCCGGGCCGCAGAGAGCAGGCUCUGGCGACUGUUUAGUAAAAACACAGCUCCCUGCUAACUCGAAAGAGGAUGUAUAGGGAGUGAGACCUGGCCACUACUGGAAGGUCAAGGGGAGGAGUUCACGCUCCGAACUGAAGCCCCAGUGAAGGCCGGCCGUAACUAUAACGGUCCUAAGGUAGCGAAGUUCCUUGUCGGGUAAGUUCCGACGCGCAUGAAUGGUAUAACGACUGGAGCGCUGUCUUAACGAGGAGCUCGGCGAAAUUGAAGCGUCGGUGAAAAUGCCGACGACCCGCGGCAGGACGGAAAGACCCCGUGGAGCUUUACUGGAGUUUGGCAUUGGGUCUUGGUGGUCACUGUGUAGGAUAGGUGGGAGCCUAUGAGGCCGGGGCGCUAGCCUCGGCGGAGGCGUCCUUGAAAUACCACCCUUUGAGUAUUAGGACUCUAACUGACCGCCGUGACGAGCGGCGGAAGGACCGUGCUAAGCGGACAGUUUGACUGGGGCGGUCGCCUCCCAAAGAGUAACGGAGGCGCGCAAAGGUCGGCUCAAGCCGGUUGGCGAUCGGCUGUGGAGGGCAUGGGCACAAGCCGGCUUCACUGCAAGAGAGACAUCUCGAGCAGAUGCGAAAGCAGGUCCAAGUGACCCGGUGGUCCCGUGUGGAAGGGCCAUCGAUCAUCGGAUAAAAGUUACCCCGGGGAUAACAGGCUAGUCUCGCCCGAGAGUCCACAUCGACGGCGAGGUUCGGCACCUCGAUGUCGGCCCAUCUCAUCCUGGGGCUGAAGCAGGUCCCAAGGGUCCGUCUGUUCGCCGGUUAAAGAGGUACGCGAGCUGGGUUUAGACCGUCGCAAGACAGGUCGGUCCAUAUCCGCCGCGGGCGUAGGAGGCUUGAGGGACGCUCCCUCUAGUACGAGAGGACCGAGGGGGCUGGACCGCUGGUGUACCAGUUGUCCCGCCAGGGGCAUCGCUGGGUAGCUAGGUCUGGACGGGAUAAACGCUGAAGGCAUCUAAGCGUGAAGCCCACCCCAAGAUAAGGCCUCCGAUUCACCCCUCCUUCGGGAGGGAGGAAGUAAGGUCCCUGCGAGAACAGCAGGUAGAUAGGCCGCAGGUGGAAGCGCAGUAAUGCGUGGAGCCGAGCGGUCCUAAUCGACCGAGCGCUUGUGCGA
rfam:Candidatus Fraserbacteria bacterium RBG_16_55_9 RBG_16_scaffold_2228, whole genome shotgun sequence.